rnacentral:rRNA from 1 species
GUUAGCGGCAUGGCUAAAACAUGCAAGUCGAACGCGAAAGAGGGGCAACCCGCGAGUAGAGUGGCGAAAGGGCGAGUAAUGCGUUUCUAACGUGCCCCAGGGUCGGGGAUAGCUCAGGGAAACUUGAGUUAAUACCCGAUGAUCCCAUAAGACGCAUGGCCCGACGGGCAAAGGCUUGCUGCCCUGGGAUCGGGAAACGUGCUAUCAGCUUGUUGGUGAGGUAACGGCUCACCAAGGCUAAGACGGCUAGCGGGUGUGAGAGCAUGACCCGCCGCAUCGGGACUGAGACACUGCCCGGACUCCUACGGGAGGCUGCAGUAACGAAUCUUCCGCAAUGGGCGAAAGCCUGACGGAGCAAUGCCGCGUGCAGGAUGAAGCCCCUCGGGGUGUAAACUGCUGUCAGGGUUUACCAACACAAUGAGGAAACCCAAAGGAAGGGCCGGCUAACUCCGUGCCAGCAGCCGCGGUAAUACAAAGGGCCCAAGCGUUAAUCGGAAUCACUGGGCUUAAAGGGUGCGUAGGCGGACAUGCAAGUGUCUUGUGAAAUCCCACCGCUCAACCGUGGAAUGGCUGGGCAUACUGCAGAUCUUGAGGUCGGUAGGGGCAGCCGGAACGCUAGGUGGAGCGGUGAAAUGCGUAGAUAUCUAGAGGAACGCCCAAGGAGAAGACAGGCAGCUGGGCCGAUUCUGACGCUGAGGCACGAAAGCGUGGGUAGCGAACGGGAUUAGAUACCCCGGUAGACCACGCCCUAAACGAUGUGUACUAGAUGGUGAAGGUUUUGACGCCGGCACGGUCGAAGCUAAAGUUUAAGUACACCGCCUGGGGAGUACGGUCGCAAGACUAAAACUCAAAGGAAUUGACGGGGGCUCACACAAGCGGUGGAGCAUGUGGCUUAAUUCGAAGCAACGCGAAGAACCUUAUCCAGGGUUUGACAUGUAUGGAUUAAUCACCUGAAAAACGGAAAACGCCCUUAGGGUGGAACAUACACAGGUGCUGCAUGGCUGUCGUCAGCUCGUGCUGUGAAGUGUCG